rnacentral:rRNA from 1 species
AUUGAACGCUGGCGGCAGGCCUAACACAUGCAAGUCGAACGAGAGGCGGACGGGUGAGUAAUGUCUGGGAAACUGCCCGAUGGAGGGGGAUAACUAAUGGAAACGGUAGCUAAUACAGCAUACCAUCAGAGGUGCCCCGGUGGGAUGAGCUGGUAGGUGAGGUAAGGGCUAACCUAGGCGACGAUCCCUAGCUGGACUGAGAGGAUGACCAGCCACACUGGAACUGAGACACGGUCCAGACUCCUACGGGAGGCAGCAGUGGGGAAUAUUGCACAAUGGGCGCAAGCCUGAUGCAGCCAUGCCGCGUGUAUGAAGAAGGCCUUCGGGUUGUAAAGUACUUUCAGCGGGGAGGCGUUACCCGCAGAAGAAGCACCGGCUAACUCCGUGCCAGCAGCCGCGGUAAUAC